AAAAGGUCGACCUCGAUUUUUUUAUGAAUCGAUCAUCAGGGUAAGAUUUGAAUCGAUUUAAAAAUCGAUCUUUUUGUUGGAAAGAUUAGCCAUCCCUACAAUAAACGUAGUAUUAUAGUUUAAUUCUCUUUGGAGUACAUUUUGUAUGAUCUAGUACAAUUCCGUCAACUUGACAACUGCUACCUGGCUCGUAUGACAACUUUCCAAGAAGUAACAGCCUGGCGAAACUCAAAGAAAAUCGAUUCACUCGAUUGUAUGUAUACGAAAAUCGCUGUGCUGUUUCUGCCGCGGCCGCGCAGCCUGGCGCAACUAUCUAACAAACUUGAAAAUGUAUGAAAUGCGUUCUAAACAUAAUGGCGGCAAACAAUUUUUUGUACGAAUUGUCGUUUCUUUUACUUUAUUCCAGUAUUAUUCAGGAGAAUUUAAUUAAUUAAGUAUUUGAAGAAUAAAUUCGUAAGACAUUUCUGAGCUAUACAAUGUAUGAAAAAACUUGUAAAAUAUGUGGUUUAAAAUAUGGCCGGUCAAAUCACAGAGUAAGAGAAUUUUCAUGGCUAAAUUCCCUUUGGAUAAAGAAAGAUUCAGGACCCACGCCUACGACUUCAACAACAUUUAUUGCAACAUCUGGAAAAUGAAAACUAAAUACCGUGAAAACCGAAACUACUACACAACGCAUAAGCAAACUUUAAAAAAAUAUUAAUUAUGUAAA